rnacentral:rRNA from 1 species
AUUGAACGCUAGCGGGAUGCCUUACACAUGCAAGUCGAACGGCAGCGCGGACUUCGGUCUGGCGGCGAGUGGCGAACGGGUGAGUAAUGUAUCGGAACGUGCCCAGUAGCGGGGGAUAACUACUCGAAAGAGUAGCUAAUACCGCAUACGCCCUACGGGGGAAAGGGGGGGAUCGCAAGACCUCUCACCAUUGGAGCGGCCGAUAUCGGGUUAGCUAGUUGGUGAGGUAAAGGCUCACCAAGGCGACGAUCCGUAGCUGGUUUGAGGGGACGACCAGCCACACUGGGACUGGGACACGGCCCAGACUCCUACGGGAGGCAGCAGUGGGGAAUUUUGGACAAUGGGGGAAACCCUGAUCCAGCCAUUCCGCGUGUGCGAUGAAGGCCUUCGGGUUGUAAAGCACUUUUGGCAGGAAAGAAAUCGCAUGGAUUAAUACUCUGUGUGGAUGACGGUACCUGCAGAAUAAGCACUGGCUAACUACGUGCCAGCCGCCGCCGUAA